AGCUUGUUGGUGAGGUAAUGGCUCACCAAGGCGACGACGGGUAGCCGGUCUGAGAGGGCGACCGGCCACACUGGGACUGAGACACGGCCCAGACUCCUACGGGAGGCAGCAGUGGGGAAUAUUGCACAAUGGGCGAAAGCCUGAUGCAGCGACGCCGCGUGAGGGAUGACGGCCUUCGGGUUGUAAACCUCUUUCAGCAGGGAAGAUGCGAAAGUGACGGUACCUGCAGAAGAAGCGCCGGCUAACUACGUGCCAGCAGCCGCGGUAAUACGUAGGGCGCAAGCGUUGUCCGGAAUUAUUGGGCGUAAAGAGCUCGUAGGCGGCUUGUCACGUCGGUUGUGAAAGCCCGGGGCUUAACCCCGGGUCUGCAGUCGAUACGGGCAGGCUAGAGUUCGGUAGGGGAGAUCGGAAUUCCUGGUGUAGAGGUGAAAUGCGCAGAUAUCAGGAGGAACACCGGUGGCGAAGGCGGAUCUCUGGGCCGAUACUGACGCUGAGGAGCGAAAGCGUGGGGAGCGAACAGGAUUAGAUACCCUGGUAGUCCACGCCGUAAACGAUG
rnacentral:rRNA from 1 species